rnacentral:rRNA from 1 species
GGAAGGGGUGUAUUUAUUAGAUAAAAAACCAAUGCCCUCUGGGCUCCUUGGUGAUUCAUAAUAACUAAACGAAUCGCAUGGCCUUGCGCCGGCGAUGGUUCAUUCAAAUUUCUGCCCUAUCAACUUUCGAUGGUAGAAUAGUGGUCUACCAUGGUCUUAACGGGUAACGGGGAAUUAGGGUUCGACUCCGGAGAGGGAGCCUGAGAAACGGCUACCACAUCCAAGGAAGGCAGCAGGCGCGCAAAUUACCCAAUGCUAAUUCAGCGAGGUAGUGACAAUAAAUACUGAUACGGGGCUCUUUCGGGUCUCGUAAUUGGAAUGAGUACAAUCUAAAUCCCUUAACGAGGAACAAUUGGAGGGCAAGUCUGGUGCCAGCAGCCGCGGUAAUUCCAGCUCCAAUAGCGUAUAUUAAAGUUGUCGCCGUUAAAAAGCUCGUAGUUGAACCUUGGACCUGGCUGAUCUGUCCUCCUAAUCGAGCGCACGGAUUCGGUCGGGUCUUUCCUUCUGGGGAGCCCUAUGCCCUUCACUGGGUGUAGUGGGGAACCAGGACUUUUAC